rnacentral:rRNA from 1 species
CAACGUGAGCAACCUGCCUCUAAGUGGGGAAUAACGGCUGGAAACGGUCGCUAAUACCGCAUAAUAUAGCGGGGUCGCAUGACCUUGCUAUCAAAGAUUUAUCGCUUAGAGAUGGGCUCGCGUCCGAUUAGCUGGAUGGUGGGGUAACGGCCCACCAUGGCGACGAUCGGUAGCCGGACUGAGAGGUUGAUCGGCCACAUUGGGACUGAGACACGGCCCAG